AAAUGCUGACCUGGAAACUCCUUAGGUUAUGGUACUGAUUCCUCCCUGCCUUACAGCCUGUCCCCCUAGGGCAGGCACCCCCUGGGAUGGGAUCCUCCCCUCCGCUCCAGGCGAUCCCGGCCUGCCCCCCCAAUAUUUACAUUAGAACCUGCCUGGCCUGUCAGCUCUGCCUCUGUUGAGGUGGGGCUGGACAUGGGGAGAAAGGAAGUAGAUUUCUCAUCUUCAGGGUGGGGUGAACCUUUUUUUGGUCAGGGAGGGGCGGAGGCUCCCACUACCUUUACCCAUUAACAGAGUUGGGACAGCCCUGUGAUUUUAUGUGAGAUCCAGAUUUAAAUGGGGACCCGAUACUUCCUGGUUGGGUGACCUUCAGCAAGGGAAGUCUCUUUCCCCUGAGUCUCCUCAUUCUCCUUUGUAAGAAAGCAGACUUCACCUUGCCCAUGGGCACCUCCUUCUGAGUUAGUGAUGCUCCGUGCGUCCCUCUGUUGUCUUGCUUUUACAGAAAGAGCAUCUACUGACACGUCCGUCCGUCCGUCCGUUCUGCCUCUGCCGUGUAGAAGCCUCCUUUCACCCCCUCUUCAUCUUGUUUAUUUGUAUAAAGUGGAGUUGAUACCAAGAGUCUCUAAACACCCUGAAUCCUGGAUGGAGAGCUGGCCAAGGGCAGAAGAGACAGGAGCAGAGGGUUGGCCAGAGGGUGCCAGCCCCUGAGCAAGGCCACCUGGCCAGCUGUGCCCUCCCCCCUCAUUCUUCUCCCCUGAGUCAGGCCUGUUCACUUGUGGGUGCGCCACCCCCGCCCCUUGCUCUGGAAUGGGGCAGGUUGAGGCCUCACCCCAUAGGGGAUGUUGCCAAGAGAGUCUGCACGCAUGCGCACAAGUGAAUGUGGCUCUGGAGGGAGACAGGCUCAUGUCCCUAUCCCCAGGCUCAGGAAAGCCCCUGGGUAGUACGUACACACACCUGCCUUCCUGUGUGUGCAGCCACUUGGCAGACUUUGUGUGGGCUUGCAGUCCUGCCAGUAGGUGAGGUGGCUGUAGGCUGGGGUGGCUUGUGUAUGCUUUGUUGGUGUUGUCCUGGCUGUAUCUAUCCGUCGGAGGAGGUGGCCACAGUGGAACGAUCUCAGGGCACAUGCCUCUUUCUCUGGCCACGGGCCCUGUCCGAGUUCCAGAGCUUGCUUGUGUGCUUCCUAGUGUACUAUGCUUGGUGGGCCAUGCCAAAGAGCAGGAUGUCUUCUUAGAGCCAGAGGCCUCCUCCCUCAGCCUGGAGCUGGAGGCCUUGGAUGCAGAAGCCCCUCCCUCAGGCAGGUGGGGGUGGGGUGGGGCCUUUACCGAAAGGUCUUUGCCCAGGCAGCACCUCUGGACUGUGAGACCAGCCCUGAACUGGGGACUAUUUAAGUGUGGCCUUGGAGAGCUCCUCCCUCUUCUGGUUAUCUUCUGCUUCAGAGGCGUUCCUCCCUAUCAGAUACUCAGGUUGCAGAGCCCUUCCCUAAUUAAGCCCCUGGUCUAUAGACCUAUUCCUGGGGUAGCUCGGCAGGUUCUGGGUAGGGGGAGAGAGGUAUUGAGGUGGGAGAAGCAGAUGUUGUCAGGUGAUAGUCUUGGCUGUGGCUGGGGAUUUUGCAGCCAGGACCUUGAGUGCCAGUGGAGGGUCUGGGUCCUCUGGGCUAAAUUCACCCUACCCCCAACUCAGCAGGAGCCCGGCCCUUUCUGUGUAGGGGAAGCCAAGGGCGACUGUGCUGCACUGAAAGACUCAGGAAGCAGCUGAAGGCCUGGGAAAUCUCCUAGCUCCCAAGCCUCCUGGGUCCUUCAGUUACUAGGAGCGUUCCUGCCUCCCAGGACUGUGUCACAUCCACGGGGAAGAAGCAGCGUUUGCCCUCCACCAAUACCUGCUAUGCAGUAGUCACCACACCCCACCGGUGUCUGGAUAGGAGAGGCUGAUGGUCCCGCCUAGAGGCAGAGGAUGAGCGCAUGCUUCAAGGCCUCCAGUUUAUUGAGAUGAUGAAGUCUGCCCCAUCCCCCACCCCCAAGCAGGGAGGUCAGGUUUGUAGCUGACAUAGUCAAUAGAACGUGACUGCUCGAUUCAGAUUGUUCUCAGUGAAAAGGCUCCUGCCACUUACACAGUGGAGGCCAGCAGGUGCAGUUUCAGACUAUUCGUCCUUCCUCACCAUCUCAUUUCCUCAUCUGUAAAAUGGGAUGAAAGUGCCAACACUGGCCAGGGGGUGGAGCUCACUACCCUGGGCAGGUUGGUAGAGUGCUCUCUAGUGUGCAGUGAUCUCUGGGUCUGCUCUCUGGCAGCACAUAAAUUGGGUGUUGCAGUACAAGUCUGUAAUCCCAGGGAGGUGCAGGCAGGAGAAGAAGUUCGGGGUCAGGUCAGAGUCAGGUUAGGCAGAGUGCUGCAGUCACACAGCUACCUGUGUUGGGUCCCCAGAGUCCACUCGGUGAAAGGAGAGAACCAACUCCCGAUGGUUGUCUUCUGACCACCACACGUGUGCAGUGGUGCGUGCACACACCCACCCACACCCACACACAAAAUAAUGGAAUUAAAAGAUGAGUUCAAAGUCAUCCUUGGCUAGCUAGCAUGUUCGAGGUCAGCCUGGGUUACAAAGACCUUGUCUAAAUAAUAAUUAAUAAUAAUAAUAAAGCUGGGUGGUAGUAGCACAUACUUUAAUCCCAGCAUUCAGGUGAAUCUCGUAGUCUGAGGCCAGCCUGGUCUACAGAGGGAGUUCCAGGCUAGCCAGGGCUAUAUAGAGAGACCCUGUCUUGAAAAAACAAAACAGAACC
rnacentral:lncRNA from 1 species